rnacentral:misc_RNA from 1 species
AUGUUUGUUACCCCAAUGUAAAUAUCUGUUUAUUUCUACUUUGUUCAGAUGUUAUGAGGAUUAUACAUUAUUUGUUGAUAUAUUCUUUUUUGUAUUUUUGUGACAGCACUGAGCGGUCUUAAGAACUGGAUUCAGUAGUGCUAUUGUCCUAAACCAUUCCACUGAGUUACAUUCCUACAAAAUCUGACAGAGAUGUUUUCCCUGCACUCUGUCUGACUUAGUCAUUUGGCUGCAUAAUAUGACCCUUCUUGUGUUUAUGUGUUUCUUUACCCUGUUGCUUUAACUAGUACAACACGACAACUGCUAUUGGAAUUUCACUUUUCUAAAGUUUAACUAUUUCCAAAUAGCAACAGCAAGUAAAUGUUGACCUUAAUACUAGACAGGAAAUUUUCUGUUAAGGAACGAUUGAAGAUUGUGUCCUCUGUUACAACUUGUGUCCAUGGACUUGCUGUUUAGUGUUCAAUACCAAAUCAAAAUCUGCCAGAUCUGACCUAGUUUCGUUCUAUAUGUACAUGUAUGUAGUCUUAUUGUAUGUGCAAUCACAUGUACCCUAUAUAUAAAUAUAUAUUUACAUAUCAUUUCGUAUACAAUUUACAUAUCAAAUGUAUCAUUUUUCUGACAUAUUUUUUAUAUUUUCAUGAUGAAUAAUAAACCAUGAAAUGUUU